rnacentral:lncRNA from 1 species
CUUCGUCAUUCCUUCCUCGGAAGACCGGAUAACUUCUGUGGUCUCCCUCAUAUUCUUGUUUCUCCAGCUUUUGGCCUUACUUUUGACCCAUCCUUUUGUCCUCUUGCCAUCCUUCUUGGCACCUUUGGGCAGCCCAUCCUAGCUUCCAACCAGCGCCCUUGAGAACAUCAUCUGAAGGCUUUCCUUCCUUGAACUCAUCUUUCCCUUUGGAUUAUGUUUGGAUUGCCACUUUCUGAGUCCAUGGAAUAUUUUCGGAGACUUCUUCCCUUUCCCUGGGAGCUAUGAGUGAUGUCUCUUCCCGAAUUUUAUAUUGCUCGAAAAUAACUUGCAACGUUCUGG